CACCACGUGUGCGUGUCGCGCGAGACGCCUCUCGUCGUCGUCGCCGUCGUCGCCGUCGCGGACCGUCGUCGUACGUCGUCGUCGUCGACGGCAGCGCCACCUCCGACCGGAAGCCCGCUCGGACCCCUGUUUGCUCCCCCCGCUACCGCCACCCCCUCAUUGUGCGGCCACCAUUCCACCCCCGCGCGUGGAGCGCUGGGCCCGCGUACUAACUGAUUUUCAUGAUCGGUUCCGCGAACGAUCACCCCGGGUGGUCCCCGACGAGAGUUUCCACGAGUGCGGGGCAGUGAACGUGUGAUACUGGAAACGAGACUGUCCGCGUACGCGGACGUCCUUGAGGAUGCGACGUUACGGGUAACUGGAGUCACCGAUAGCGGGGCUGAUUCUGAACGAACGAGGACGUCAGGUGGCCCGAAGGAGCGUAGAUGAGUUCUACGGUCUGCGUCCUCGAGCGUGCUUCCAGUUCUAUGCUGGCGAAUUUACUCGGUGAGUCAAUAUUUCCAUAGUCCCCAUUCUGUGUGAAAAAUGAGGCUGCUUAGUCUCGACUCUACAUAGGAAUUAUUUUAAACUACGACGUUAGUAAAUCCAGCGUUAAAUAAUGCUCGUUCGUAAGCGGGAAAUUCUACCACCAAAUUAUCUUACGUUCGAUUAAUCACACAUUAAUUACACAAAGAACAUCAAAUAAAGUAAAUGUAUACAUUACUUGAACUUGUCAAAGUUCAAGAACUACAAUAAACCUUUUAAAUACACGAUAUAUCUGAAAACUAAGGAAUUACCGCUAUAUCAAUCUAAAUUAUACCGUAAGAUUCAUAAGUAUCAAAGCUAAGAGAUGGCGCUAACUGAGCGGCCUGAUAACCGGUGCCAAUAACCGAUAGCGGAAAGAAUGCUAAUUAGGGCCAAGGUAACAACCCUGCGUGACGACGUGCGAUCCGAAGGACCGACACUCUCCUUGUGAAGUGCGAUAGAUUGGUCGGAUCGAGCUAUUGUACGGGAGUCUUGGAACAGUAUUAGAAUAAAGUACCGGUGACUAUUCUUUGUAACACACAGUGUUCAAUUUGCAAUCCUUCGCUCCUUAGCGCUUACCUUUCCACGCGCGCCCUCGGAAAAACAGACAUCCUGAUAAACUAAUAUGAAAAACUAAUAAUCUUACAAUACAUAUUACCAUUCCCGAAAAGCAAUGUGUUUCGCGAAGAAACGCGACGAGUCUGACAUAUCUAUGUCACUUAAAAAUUCAGUUAUGACUCACGCUCGUAUCAGCUCGACGGGCUCAUCCGUUUGUCCGAGUUUUCAAUUUUCCGUCGAAUUCUUUCCUCAAAUGAAAAGGGACAACGAGAUGAGAAGCGGGACAAUCCUCCAUGGUUGGCGCGGUGUGCAAACGCAGGCGUGUAACACACCCGAGGUGGUCGUCGGGACGCGCGCGAUUACUUACUCUCCGUCGGCGAAUUAACGACGAAUCACCGAUGGGAAAACCGGUUGCCGGUCGAACGAACGGCACGCAGGCCUAACGACUUCUCUCCUCGGCUUCAACGGGCAUUCCAACGGCACGAGUUCGCCCCGCGACGCGAAUUAAUGGAAACACGCCGCGGCGUGCCGUACGCGCUGAUAAAGCGGAAUGCGCGUACGUCCUCUCGCGCCUACCUCUCUAUCCCGCCCCGCUCCACGCGUUCGGCAUUAAGCGAUCCCCGACGAAAUCUGUCUCCUUUUUUUGGAAAAACAUCCCGUGCCCCGCGGAGAGCCACCAGCGGAGAAAAUCGGCGAUCUAUGAAUUAUGCGGUCAGAAUUAUUAAUCUGGCAUUUAAACCGCGACUAAAACUACGAUCGGAAUUCGGGUAUCGUGCAGUUACUGUAACGGAUCGGUUCAACUCCAAUAAGCAAAUCACGCGGUAAUGCCGGUUAGCGGGCUGGGAGGCAACGGACGCGUCUCCGUUCCGUAUUACUCGCCGGCAAACUAAAAAGGCAAAUUAAAAGGGACAGAUGUUCACACAUGGAAUUAUGAAGGCGUCGCGAAGACGAUCGACUAACAAGUUCCAAGCAAUUAAGUAACGGAAGAUCGCUUCAGACACGACAUUGUUUUUGAUAUCGCUUCUAUGAAAUGCACAUUCGUGCUCCGGCGAUGUCCGAGAUAACGUGCUAACGUAUCGCGUGUAAUGUUAAUCUCGCUGAUUUGUAUUUCAUCGACAAGGAGUUUCCGGUUGAAUCUAUCGGCGUGUUGAAAGGGAACACGUGUUUCCACGCGUUAUUUAUACAUUCCAUCACAGAGUCGGGAUCGAUAUUAUGCGCAAUCCGGUUCGCGCUCGAAAACUCCGAGCGCGGCAUUCGGAAAUGAAUUAAUUCCGGUGGAAUAAAACGCCCGGGCAAAUUAACAGAACUCGGUCGAGAGCGGUUAUUGCGCGCUGAUGGAAUAGACGAACGACCGUCCCUUCCUGCCGGGUCCCCCACUGUCCCCCUCGCGGUCCGAUCAUCACCGGUGCGUUUGAAAUUAAGCGAUUCCGCAUUCACGCAUGAGCGCUAUUGCCGUGAGUCCGAUCGCGAAUUACACGGCCAGCAAGGCGAAACGCGCGCGGCGAAGGAGCGCGCGUAUAAUCGAUCGUAACUGUCUCCGCGCCGCUAAAUAUUCCUUCCUGAAUCGGACGAGCUUUCAGCGUCCAUAAAUACUCGACGCGGGAGCUUCGCUCACUCAUUAAUGGAAUAACCGACGCCUUCCCUUCGUGUAACACAUUGCCCCGUUAUACCAAUAACUUGAAAUUAGAAUGAGCGAUUCUCGCUGGCCGGAGCGGAGCGUGUUGCAGGAAAGGAAUAAACGUACAAUGCAUGCUCGGAUGCACGAGACACUCGGGAAGAUUUUCACGAUAGCCAACGAAGAUCCCGCCACAGAUUUAAUAAAGCGGUAAGUUCAUAAAGCAGAAUCGACCGGUGAGUCGAGAGAUAAUCGCGUGUCCGGAAUGGAAAAUUCGAUUGCGCGUAUCCGCUCGCGAGCGUCCGCUCCACGUCGUUUGCUUGAUUGCAGCUUUAAGGGUUCCAUCGCGCGAUUUCGGGUAAAAAUUAAGUCUCGCCAGCCUAAAGUGAUGAGGGUUAAUUGGAUUUAGCUUAUCAGAUCCCGGGACCGGGGGACUUGUUUACGGGCGAUAUUUCGCGAGCGGGCCGCUCGCGUAUGUUCGCGACAAUGUAGCAAAUUAGGUUGCUCCGUCUCGCCUUUUAUAACCCGACGGGCAACGGGCAGCGGGCAUUCCAAUGGUACCAGUACUCGCCUUGCAACGCGAAUUAAUGGAAACAAGCCGCGGCAUGCCAUGCGCACGCUGACAAACCGGAAUCACCAUCCCUCGUCUCGCCCCGUCCCUUUCUCGCGCGCGCGCGCCCAACGCGGUUCCGGCGCGUUCGGAUUAACCGAUUUCAUGUUCGCGCGCGCGAGCGGAAAAGUGUAAAGACGGAUAGAGACGUGACACCUAACGUCGCGUUGACAUUUGUAACGCGGUCCCUUCGCCGCGCGGAUGCUGGGAAUAUUUAUAUACCGCGCGGCAUUGCCGAGAUGCUUUCUCGCGACGCUCGUAACGUUCUUCGACUGGCUAAUGGACGUGAUCGCUAUUCACGCCCCCUUUUCAAGUUUUUAUCGCUAUCGCCGUACAUUUUUCAGUCGUUGAGGGUGUUUAGCAUCUACUCCGGUAACAUUGUUGCUCGGUAUCGUGGUCGCGAUGGCGAUUCAUCGAGUUAAACGAGAAAAAGAAUCAGAGGAACCGUGUUUACCUCGCUCGUCGGUUCUCUUGUUCGGUGUAAAUGCCGGCGCUCGAAUCAGGUUUAAAAAUUCGCUCUCUCUCGGGUGGCAAUAACAUCGUCGCGGUCUUGUAAAGAGUUAACUUACCUGAAAUUGCCUAACGACUUCGUCGCUCGGCAUCGACGUGCGUUCGGAUGGCACGAGUUUGCUCGGCGACAGAAUAAAUGGAAACACGACGGCACGCCGUACGCGCUGAUAAACCGGAACAUCCGUUCAACGUGCCAUUCUAUUCACAUGACUGCCCCAGCACAUUUUGCAUCGAACGAUUUAAUCCCAACGCUCGGACGAGUCGUGUUUAAUAAAACAAUAUUGCGCGCUUUUACAAAGUUAUAUAAUGUGAAUUCCUGUUAAAAAUUACUUAUGCUAUAGAAUUUGCAUAACUAGGCUUGGCAAUAACUUUGUGUUACGAAUUUGAUGUUAAUUAACUGUCAGUACACAAGUCAUAUUAUAUUUCAUAUUAAUCACAUACAUAAAUUCAUAUUGAAAGGAUGUAUAUAUUAUAAUAAAAUAUAAAAGCAUUUGUGAUAAACAAAAAUGGUGCCGUGUACCAUUUUUAGUUAAAAAUUCGUCAGAUUGAAUUAUUUUUGGCUAAACGAAUUUCGUGUUUUUUCAAACGUUCACAGUACAAGAUUCACGUGUGAAGUGACGUAAAGAGUGACGUUCCACGCAUUAUAUCAAUCUAAUUCGCGCGCGAGAGUCUUUUAACGUCCAGUUGAAAAGUAACAGAACGUAAAACAGCUCCGUGCCGGUUGGUUUUCACGGCGCCCAUCGGUAAAAUAUAGUUCCUAACAAAAAUGGAAGGUACUCUCAACUGACGUCGCUACGGACGGGCUAACGACUUCUCCGCUGGACUUUAAUGGACAUUCCACGGCACGAUUUUACUCAGCGAUUUGAAUUAAUGGAAACACGCUGGCAUCCCAUUUGCACUGAUAAAACGGAACGUCCUCCUCAUGGGUUUCCCUUUCUCUUUCGCUCUGCCGAGCCUGCUUGUGUUUCUCCGUCACCUCUCGGGACAGUCCCAAACGGCGUUUUUCUGUGCACGUCUCUCCUAUGAUAUCGAUGUUAAGCAAUUACGUGUUGACCUCAAAAAAAAAACGAAACUUCGCAUAAGCGGAACAAGCAGCAAGCGUAUUAAUCGCGAGCGCUCGAAACGUAUUCACCGCAAAUUCGGCUUAAAGAGUGGAAAUUAAAUGAAAUUAUAGCCGAAAACAUGUAAUCACAGUAAAAUCCAACGUAAGCAUGAUUUAGCUCAAGCUCGUCAAGCUCACUAUUUAUCAAAAAUAUUUAAAAAAACGAGCGAGUUUUAUUUGUUCAAACACUCUUGCGGGUAGAAUUAUUCAAAAUGUAUUCUGAUCCAUUUAUUAUGUUAUCGGGUUAUGUAUUUGCGAUACAUUUUGCAUAAUGAACACGUCACAGCGUCGUCGGACGUAUACAAUCCUCAACGAUCUAGCCACAAAUGCGUCGCCAAACGGACUCAUUCAUAAAUCCAUCGACCCGUAGAUUGCCCACUCUGGACUGCCGCCUCCGUCCAUGAAUGCUUAAACUCAUGAUCAUCAAUUCCCUCAUUAACUACUGGUUUCACGCAUUCUUAAAUGAAUAAACUGCUAAGUCCAUGAUUUACUAAUCGCCUGGCAUUACUAGAUAAUUAACUGCGGUUCACUGUCACGCGCGUGUCGCGUCCAACGCCCAGAGACACUACACAAGAGAA